rnacentral:lncRNA from 1 species
UCAAAUCUGAAUCCAUAUUCGAACACACGUCUUCAGUUGUUCAGCGUCUGUCAGCCCGAAAGUUACUAAAGAUUAUAGUGCAUUUUGCUUACAAUAUAAUUAAAAAAAUAUUUUUAAAGAAAUAUAAAGUGAAGAAACAUGUGGAAACAAAUUUUCGGUGUUUUGCUUAUUACCUUGUGCCUGAUGCACACUGGUGAGUGACUUUUAUCAUUGAAAGUGCCUCAAAUUAGUGCCUUACGAAAUAUUGUUUUUGAGUGAAAUGACAAAAACCUGUCCUAUUAAAUGAAGAUGUUGUAGAAGUAAAAUCAAUGGUUGAAAGGUUUUACAUUGAUAUACAAAAAUUGUAGACAAGCCUAAAACCGAUUUAAAUCAAUAAAUACAGUGGAAUUUUUUACACACUAUAACAAUUGAAUAUCAUCUAGAAAAUAGAAUCCAAAAUUGACUGCAAUAAUGUUUUUGAGAUCAGAUCAUUCAUAUUUUGCCUUAAGGCAUUCAAAAGAAAAAACAUUUCCUUAUUUAUCACAUACUAAAACGGCGAACAAAAAAUGCACAAAUAUUCACGUAAUUUUCCAUACCAUUUUGCCAAGACAAAUAUGCAAAAUGGUGACUUCAUAACUAAACAAAAAGCACAAAUAAAGAUCAAGAGGGUUAGAGAAUUUGUGUUGUCGUUACAUAAUGGUACCGCGGGAGGUAGUGGGGGGCCAGGGGCGACCAAAACAACCAAAUCAGAGAGCGAGAGCGACAGAAAUACCUGUGUCAGUUUGCAAUUAAAUUCCAUCAGCAAUAAAUUCAAUUAAAGCAAAAAUCCAAAUACUUGACCGCAACGAUAUCCAAGCGCCACCAACACCAAAAAUAACAAUAAAUGUUUUGAAAAUAAGAGGCGGUUUCUACGAAGCUGGCGAUCACAACAAAAUAGAUUGUUUUUUUUUUUUGCUUUUGUUUUUGCAGCGACCCCCAUGCUUGGCCGACAUCAUCGCUCGUUCCCGAAACUCGUUCCCGAGUUCCACUCAAUUUGCUGAGAGAUGAAAUGCAAAAAGCUUUUCCGUGCACGAUCCGCCAACUCACUCAAAACAAGUUCAGUUCAAAUCUGAAUCCAUAUUCGAACACACGUCUUCAGUUGUUCAGCGUCUGUCAGCCCGAAAGUUACUAAAGAUUAUAGUGCAUUUUGCUUACAAUAUAAUUAAAAAAAUAUUUUUAAAGAAAUAUAAAGUGAA